rnacentral:rRNA from 1 species
UACGUAGGGGGCGAGCGUUGUCCGGAUUUAUUGGGCGUAAAGAGCGUGUAGGCGGCCAGGUAGGUCUGCUGUGAAAACUCGAGGCUCAACCUCGAGACGUCGGCGGAAACCAUCUGGCUAGAGUUCGGUAGGGGAGACUGGAAUUCCUGGUGUAGCGGUGAAAUGCGCAGAUAUCAGGAGGAACACCGGUGGCGAAGGCGGGUCUCUGGGCCGAUACUGACGCUGAGGAGCGAAAGCGUGGGGAGCGAACAGG